rnacentral:lncRNA from 1 species
CGAACUGAUUGGCAUACGUGACAGCACAUCCAUCGUUAAUGCAGCGUGGUGGGACAGGGAUCAGAAGAGCGCAGUUCAUGCAAUCAUAGCCGUUAUACUUUCUACAUUUUUCAGUGUUGCAACUGAUGGACUUAUAGGUUGGUAAAUCGAACUCAUCACAAUUGAACCAGGUGUGUUGGCCACCAAGAUCCAUCGCCAGGUUUAUAUUGUUGUCUCGUUUGAAAAUGUUUAAAGUAGUGUAGUACCUGGAGUACUUCCAAGUCUUUCCUUAUCGGAAAAAUAAGGGCAGUGGGCUGUGGAUUUUCAACAUUAGCAGCAUCUGAAACUGGUAAACACGAAGAACAAGAUAAUUAGACUACAGUGGAUUGAAUAAGACAUUGUUAUGAUGUUAUGAUUUUCUAGUGCUGAACAGAGUAAACAUUUAUAGAAGAUUAGUCUCCAGAUCUGUAUACACAAGGUGAUAACUGAGGGAGUCUUGAGUACCAUUUUUUAUUGCAACUGACUACCAGAAAAGAAGGAUAUGGAAGACCAGAUAUGUUAUGAACACAUUUGAGCAGAUUCCAUAAAUGGCCAUCAAAGUAUCUAUAUUUGUUUUUUGGAACAGUCAAAUUGUUCUAAAAAAAUGAAUCAUAUCAUCUGUUUUUUACUAUUGUCAGUCAUGUGUUUGCUACUUAGAUAAUGUUCAACUUGCAUGAAAGGUCAGAUGCCCCAACCUUAAGUCACCCAAGUCAAUACAGGAAGUCAACCAUGGAAUUUCCGGAUCCACAAACAUGGACAGGAUUUUAAUACAGGGGAACCAGAUGAUAUUUAGAUAAAAAAAAUUCAGAAUUUUACGUUAAAUUUUCUAUAUUUUUAGAGAUUUGAUAGGAACGGAGGCUCAGUCUAGUCCCUGUCUAGUUCCGUCCCUGCACACGAAUGUCUACAACAUCACUAGUAUAUUCAAUCUAGACUAUGUUAGGGUGGAUCUUUAGCAUAUGAAAGCUGAAAUCUUUUUGUUUUAGUUUUUGAUAAUUUUAAUUCAUUUUACAACCAGUAGUUAAUUUGGUAUCUUGGUGAGGUGACAUGUACAAUAUAGUUAGUUUCAUUUGAUCAUUUCUCUAUUGUACCAUGCUGUAAAAUUUGUGAAUGACCCUGCCCACAUUUAUAAUCAUGUGUGAUGUGUAGGUAGUUCAAUGCAGUUUGGACUAUGAUAAGUUGUGUUUUGGUUCAUGAUAUGCAAAAGUUAUGUAUGUGUAAGCUGCUACAAAGGGAUGUUGAAGAAAAUCCAACACAUCAUGAUGUUAUUUUUACAGAAAGAGGGCGCCUUAAAAUGUAUGCAUAAGGUUGGAUGGUCAGAUUGUUGUUUGCCUAAGAAGGAAGGGGGCCUAAACUUAAGGCAUCUUGAAGAUUGGCAUCAAUCUGCGAUCUUAUUUCAGUUGUGGCGUGUUAUCAGCAUGAAAGAAGACUCAUUUGGCUUAAUUGGGUGCAUAAUACUUUUUCAAAAUCUAAAUUCUUCUGGACUAUGGAGGUUCUGCAACGUUGUCCUUGGAGUCUUGGCAAAAUUCUCAAGUAUAGACCAGCUGCGCUUAAUCAUGUGAAGUAUGUAGUAGGAGUUACCCCUCUUUCUCACUAUGGUAUGAUCCUUGGUUUCGAGGAAAGUCACUCACUUAAACGUUGGGUAAUGGAAUCAUAUUUCUUGUAGAUUCUACGAACAAUGCAAAGGUAAAGGAUGGUACAACCCACCUUCGAAUCAGGUUCUACUCAGGGAUCUUCGUAAUCUCCUGGGUUCUUUCCAAAUUCAAAGCAGAAAUAGCAUUUUAUGGGAUGACCAGAAUGGUAUAAAAAAAUCUGAUAUGUGGAGGUCUAUUCGAAUAGAGCAGCUCCUGUUAUCUGGCAUGAUUUAAUUUGACAUAAACUCAUUAGUCUAAAACAUACUUUUCUAUUGUGGCUUGCUGUGAAGAAUAGAUUGUUAACCCGAGAUAGAAUGCUCAGAUUUAGUAUGCAAACUCAAUCUUAUUGCUUGCUCUGCCCUGCUAUUGUUGAAUCUGCGCAUCAGUUAUUCGUUCAAUGCCCAUUCUCGGAGGAAAUUAUAAAAUGCUGCCCAGUUGCUACUCCUGCGAAUUGGAGGGAUAAUGUGGAGUUUUUGACUUCAAUGAAAGGCAGCUCACUAAAGGUUAAACUGGCCCGACUUAUUUAUCAGCUGUUGCAUAUGUUAUUUGGACAGAAAGGAAUACAAGACUUCAUGGAGGAGAUUGUUUAAGCUGUUAAAGAGUAUAAGAUCAUGUUGAGUCCGUUCUCUACAACCUUAAGGUUUUAGAGCGACUGGUUACUUAACAUGGUACCAGUGCAGAGAACCACCAUUCCAUGUAAAAUCUUUUUAAAAAGAAAAUUACAUUCAUCAAACUAACCGAAGGAAAACUCAUAUUAUGCUAAGUGUCAACUUUCUCACAUGUAAGUGCCAUUAGUUUCUAACUGAUCUCUUCCUUUUCUUUAGUAUUUAAACGUUGAAACUUCAAUUAAUCAUGAGAAUGUGCAUCAAGCAGCAUUGCACCUCCAUAAUAUUUAGAUUUUCUCUUAUUAAAACUCCUCCAUCUGAAGCAAUAUCAAUCCCAGUGAAAUAUUGUUCAAUUGAGCCCAGCAAGAACCUACUGCUAGUAAAUUUAUAGGACUCUGGACUGGCUGCAAGUUGUAUUUCGAGUUAAAAGUGAAGAGCUAAUCCCUACAUUGGAAGAAAUAAGAUCGAACUCGAUAAGAUAAUUCUCUAGUUGAUGCCCUCCUAUGACAACUGAAGUUCUUGGAAAUUUUCCUCCAUCCACAAAUGCCAGGCAUAAUACUUCUUCAUUCACCGAUACCAUUGAGUUGGCUCCGUAAAGUCUCCAUUCGUUCUUGCCCCCUGCAAAACCGAUAUCUAUAUGUGGCACCGCAGGUCCUGUCUUGCUUUUGGGAAUGUUUGUGGCAUUGAAACACACAUCGAAGGGUCCGUCUACUCUUUUCAUCUUCCUGCUAGCUGCAGCCUCAGUAAAAGCAGUAACGAAAACUGUAUAGAGAGUUCUCUGUAAACUUGUGAAAGGAAAUCGAGUACUAAAUGUAGUACCUCCAAAGCCAUCUUCGUUGAUGGAUAGUAAAGAAGCAUUAAGAGGGACAAGUUUCUGAUCAAUAGUAAUAGAUUUGAGAUGUACGAAAUAUUCGUCGUAAGGGUCAGUUACUGUAUAAAUUUUGUCAGUAUCAACAGGGUAACUAAUGAGUUUUGUGGUGAUCAACUUUUUAGCAAUGUUCUUAGAAUAUGGCCGAAAUAUGUAUGGCCCCCCGCCAAUAAACAUGUGGCCAUGUAUAGGACCAGAUGUAGAGGGCAAACAAAGAGCAAAUUUGUGAGGUAAAUUAAACUGUGCUGCCAUUUGUGCAGGCAAGGAAGUAGUUGUAUUUACGAGGCCUAUCAUACCUUUGGUUCCACUGGCUAGAUUUCUCAAGUAAUCAGAACAUGAAAAUGGAAAUGGAUCAGGAGAUUUGUAGGUUAAUCCAACUGAUAAGCCAUUGGUAGACUCGACAAAUAAGGCAUCUUCUGCUAGGCUGUUGUUAAUAUCUUGAAAAGCAAAUGGAUUGGAAUAGGUGACAGCACAUGCAUUGUUAGUGCACCGUGGUGGGACAGGGAUCAGAAGAGCGCAGUUCAUGCAAUCAUAGCCCUUAUACUUUCUACAUUUUUCAGUGUUGCAACUGAUGGACUUAUAGGUUGGUAAAUCGAAGUCAUCACAAUUGAACCAGGUGUGUUGGCCACCAAGAUCCAUCGCCAGGUUUAUAUUGUUGUCUUGUUUGGAAAUGUUUA